AAGAAAUUAGUAUAAUUUCUCGAAUUAGAGGUAGAGGUUACCAAUUCAAAUAAAAUAGUAGAAGAAUCUUUAGAUUAAAAUUCAUAUCUUUAGGCUUAAUCAAUUCAUAUACUAAUUAGAUUUUGAUUUUUCUUUUUGCGGUUAUGGCCAUCACUUUAUCGCUCCAAUCAUUAUUAGAUAGUGAUAAAUUGAUGGGACUCAAUUUCGAUAGUUGGUAUCAAAAAUUCAAAAUCAUCCUAGAGUAUGAACGAAUUUUGUAUGUGCUGAC
rnacentral:lncRNA from 1 species